GCUUGCUUUGGCAGUGUGUAUACUAAAACUGGAACCAUACAGAGAAGAUUAGCAUUGCCCCAGUGUAAAUUCCUGAUGCAUUUUUUAAAAAGCAAGAAUUGAUAUAA